rnacentral:rRNA from 1 species
GGCAAGUCUGGUGCCAGCAGCCGCGGUAAUUCCAGCUCCAAUAGCGUAUAUUAAAGUUGCUGCAGUUAAAAAGCUCGUAGUUGGAUUUGUGGAGCGGCCAUCCGGCGCGGCGCCUUCUCUCUGUAGUCGGUGCCGCUAGUCCCGGCUUCGCGGCCGCUCCUUCUUCGGGAGGCGAGUGGCUGGCAUUAGGUUGUCGGCCGCUUCGCGCCCGUCUUUUACUGUGAAAAAAUUAGAGUGUUCAAAGCAGGCUUAGGCCGUUGCAUACAUUAGCAUGGAAUAAUGAGACAAGGCCGCGGUGGUCUUUUCCGUUGGUUUGCCACACGCCGCAAUGAUUAAAAGGAACGGUUGGGGGUAUUCGUAUUCAACUGUCAGAGGUGAAAUUCUUGGAUUUGUGGAAGACGAACUACUGCGAAAGCAUUUACCAAGGAUGUUUUCAUUAAUCAAGAACGAAAGUUAGGGGAUCGAAGAUGAUUAGAUACCAUCGUAGUCUUAACCAUAAACUUUGCCGACUAGAGAUUGGCGGAAGCUUCUGAUGACGNCUCCGUCAGCAUCUUACGAGAAAUCAA